GGUCCGUUGGUCAAGGGGUUAAGACACCGCCUUUUCACGGCGGUAACACGGGUUCGAGUCCCGUACGGUCUA
rnacentral:tRNA from 1 species